rnacentral:rRNA from 1 species
AGUGAACGCUGGCGGCAUGCCUAACACAUGCAAGUCGAACGGAAGCACGGGUGCUUGCAGCGGGUGGCGGGGGGCGAAGGGGGGAGGAAUACAUCGGAACAGGAUCACUAAUGGAGGAUAGUGCUAAUAAAGAAGGAGCACUACCGCGGACGAAUCUAUGGCGAAUGGAGGGGCCCUCGUGGGAUUGGGCUGUAGGGUAGGUCAAUGGCUGAUUAGCUGGUGGUUGGUGUCAAGGCCUAACAGGACGACGACCAGUAGCGGGUCUGAGAGGAGGACCAGCCACCCUGGGACUGAGACACGGCCCAGACUCCUACGGGAGGCCGCAGUCGGGAAUUUUGGGCGAUGGGCGAAAGCCUGAUCCAGCACUGCCGCGUGUGGGAUGACGGACCUCGGGUUGUAAAGCACUUUUGUUCGGAAAGAAAUAAUUGACUUUCAUCCAGGCCGGUGAUGACGGUACCCGAAGAAUAAGCCCCGGCUAACUACGUG